UCUACGGGAGGAAGUCGCGAGGCUGCGAGGCUCUUCUCCUCAUCCCAAUUCACUUCGUCUUCUCACCUUCAAACCCUAGACCAAUCAGCUCCACUUCACAGGAAUUGUGAAGUGCAAUGAUUUAGUAAUGUUUCGUGCUGUUUAUAUGCCUUACCUACACGGACAGUAAAGCACGUGAUUAAUACACACCUGCUGGUGGCAAUCUCUAUCUUUUAGAUUGCUCUUUUUUAGGCUGCAACCUCAUACUUGGUGUGAGGCGGGAAGCUCGCAAGGUGUGAAGCGUGAAAGUGAGACUGAAACUGAAACGGAUGCCUGACUCAGAGAACCGGCUAGCUUCUCUUUGAUUUUUUUUUUCUAUCAUAUAUAUGGCUUAAGAAUCUUAUGCUUUUCGAAAAGGUUUGGAGAAAAUCCAUGGUUACAAUAGAAAUAUAGAGCCACCACUGUGACGACAUUUAAAACAAUUGGAGGCAAUGCAGAGAAGAUUGCUGGUUAGUAGUUCCGGUCACUGGUGAGGUAACAAUGGUGUAGAAACUCUCGAGAGUUCUUUUGUGUUUUCAAAAAGAAAACAUGGCAAUGGUGGUGAAACACAUUUCAAUGAGCUUAGCAAUGGAGACACUGAAAACAGCUAUGGUUUCAAGAGGAGAGUUGACUUUUCAAAAUAUUUACGGUGCAGAGGCAUUGCUGAAUGCAGAAGAUGAGGACGGCUAUAGUGAUUGGGAACCUCUGCAGCAGAAGAUGCCAGUUGAGUUUGUGAAAUGGUGUUGCUUCAAUUGCACUAUGGCAAAUCCUGGUGAUAUGGUUCAUUGUUAUGUAUAUUUUGCUUACUUUUUCAUGUUUGAAUAAUUUUGUUUCUGAUCUUAUCAUUACCAGCGUCUGCAAUUACUUGGCUGAGGCAUGGAUAUUUUGCAUCUCUGUUAUUUAAAAGACACUGGUCUCUCACCGAAGUCGAAGAGAAAUGUGGAGGAAAUUCAUCUGCAGCUAGCUCAACAGCUGUUGGUUUUGAGGAGAUAAUGUUGCUGCACUCAGAAGUAUGAUUUUGUACCUGUUAUAGUUUCAUGAGAUAUCUGUUGACGUCAAUACAAUUUAUUUACCUCCAAAGCUUUUCUUCGUGCAAUUAUUUCGCAAGAGCUCCAGAUGGUCUACACUUUAGAGCAUGUUAAUUUCACAAGCCAGCUUCUCUAUAGCUACUUCACCGCCGACACAUACUAAUAAGUAUUGAGCACCUGCUGCUAAUCUAGCAGCAGGUUUGUGUGCUGAUCUAGCUAAGGAAAUUUCCUCAUGAUAAAAUGUUAAUCAGCCGGGAACUUAGAAGCUCAUUAUGAUUAAGCUCAGGUCAGAUUGCAGUUUUGGUGAGCCUGACAUGAACUGCUCGACAAGUUCGACAAAGUAUGGGGGUGUUCAGAAAAUUUAAACUAUGACGGUCUCUGAGCUAAACGCUUAUGUCCUCCAUUGUCAACCGCAUGUGCAUUCCGUUCCUGGUCCAUUAUGCUAAAUGUUAUCACAACAAUAUACAUAUUACACACAGCAUACAGGUCAGAAAAUCGAGUUAUGUGAGCGUGACACGUGUUCCAGACAAGCAAAACGCAUCACUUCAUUUAAUCCGAUGGGCUUUGACUGUGAAACGUGAUUGGGCUGAUAUUUUCUUCUGCGGCCCGGCAGCCUGUAAUCGAAAACCCUAAGUUUGAUUACGCAAAAAUUGAGUUCGUCUCUCCUCUUGCACCUUCAUCGAGAAUGUCGACAGAAGAAGCUAGGGGUUCGUCAUCUCCCCUAGAUCCGACCAUGUCAAACAAGCAUGGAUGUUCUGGAAGGAACCUCAAGUCAGAUCUUCAUAAACUUUUGUGUCGUUUAUAGUUCCCGUCGUUACGCUUGAUUUCGACCUCCUCUGAUCUGUUACGCAGCAGUGAUCUUCACUUAUAAAAAGGGGAGACUUCACCUUACGAAAAUCAUCCUCCCGGCUCCUAAUAUCAGCAAAACCUCAUCUUCUUCGAUUUCAUCGCUUAAACUUUCAUGCUCGCUGAUUUGGAGGCCGUCAGUGUUUUUCCACUGUGGUGGUGUUACUUCUCGAGAAACGUGAAAGGAGGUGACGAGCUGAUGGGCGUGGACAAGCUUCUCCUCGACUCUGAGCAACCCUCAUACCGCCACCGUCUCACGGCUUACCGGCAUCAUUUUAAGGCAGUGUUUCAACUGAAUUUGAAGAGAUACGGUUCUACCAAUUCCUAAAGAACGCUUCAAGUUCCAUAAUCACAGUGAGGUACUUUGGCUGGCCAACAGGAACACACACCUUCCCGACCUUAUCUGUGAGCUCACAGCUGUGAAGAGUAUUGUGAGUGACCCUACACAAGGAAAACAUCGUGUCAUGACCGGAGGCUCCAGCUGCUCCCAGUUAUGAUGAUGUUGCAACAAGCAUAAACCUCAAGAUUGUUCGAGGUGCUCAGUCAUGUUAUGGCAACAAUUAAAAUCGACAGUGAUGUUUCUCUGACUUUGAGUUUGUUCCACUCACAACUCUCAAGCUGUAUCGUUUCACAACCACCUGGAAGGCUUCUGUGUUGAUCUAAUAGUUGUUGCUACAAGCAUAAACCUCCAAGAUUGUUGGAGGUGCUCUAUCAUGUAUCAUCUGUUUUUUUUGUUAACUGUGAAUUACUUUACUGCUGCUUGGAACAGGCAAAAACCCCAAAAACGAAAAAAACCUGAGUUUCACAGGUCAAUACAUACUUUAAUAGCUUA